CCUCUCUUUCAUGUCAUUUUUCAGUUAUUCAAGAAUGGGUUUAGGAAUCAGAGUCAUUUUAAAAGUACCAGUUUGGCAUCGGAAUCGUAAAAAUCCUAACGAUACCCAACCCUACACUUGAAGACAUAUAAUACUA